UUAAUUAUCAAGUUGCGCAUGUCAAUUAACUCUUUUCAUUUGAACGCUCUAGGAGAAUAAAUAACAAAUGCGUUUGUUUGACCUGGAAGAAAAUAAACAUUCCUAAAAAAUUUAGAAAACCUUUAACUGAUACAAUAGGAUGAAUAACCUGUGGGAUAUUGCAAUUGAGAAGUCACACAGAACCGAAGAUUCUGGAGCAACGUCAGCAGAAAAUGCACUCUUCCUUGUUGGAGGUAAAAAUGCUGGGAAGACUUCUAUCAUUAUGAGAUUUCUUGACAGGUAAAUCUUUUGAUUGAUGUAUAUGUUAAAUAUAUAAAUAACAUUACAGUUUAAUACUCAGGUGUGCUUACUUGAAAUAU